AACGUAGGUCACAAGCGUUGUCCGGAAUUACUGGGUGUAAAGGGUGCGUAGGUGGCAGUGCAAGUCAGAUGUGAAAGUUUGGGGCUCAACCUUAAAAUUGCAGUUGAAACUGGAGACCUUGAGUACGGUUGAGGCAGGCGGAAUUCGUGGUGUAGCGGUGAAAUGCUUAGAUAUCACGAAGAACCCCGAUUGCGAAGGCAGCCUGCUAAGCCGCCACUGACGUUGAGGCUCGAAAGUGCGGGUAUCAAACAGG
rnacentral:rRNA from 1 species